rnacentral:rRNA from 1 species
CCUACGGGCGGCAGCAGUGGGGAAUAUUGCACAAUGGGGGAAACCCUGAUGCAGCGACGCCGCGUGAGUGAAGAAGUAAUUCGUUAUGUAAAGCUCCAUCAGCAGGGAAGAAAAUGACGGCACCUGAGUAAGAAGCCCCGGCCAACUACGUGCCAGCAGCCGCGAUAAUACGUAGGGGGCAAGCGUUAUCCGGAUUUACUGGGUGUAAAGGGAGCGUAGACGGUUGUGCAAGUUUGGAGUGAAAGGCGGGGGCUCAACCCCCGGACUGCUCUGGAAACUGCACGGCUGGAGUGAAGGAGAGGUAAGUGGAAUUCCUGGUGUAGCGGUGAAAUGCGUAGAUAUUAGGAAGAACACCAGUGGCGAAGGCAGCUUACUGGACUGUAACUGACGUUGAGGCACGAAAGCGUGGGGAGCGAACAGGAUUAGAUACCCUUGUAGUC